CUGUUCGAGCGUCAUUACAACCCUCAAGCUCUGCUUGGUGUUGGGCCACACCGGUAACGGUCGGCCCUAAAAUCAGUGGCGGUGCUGUCAGGCCCUAAGCGUAGUAAUCUUUCUCGCUACAGGGUCCUGCUACGUGCUCGCUAGACAACCCCCAUUCUAUGGUUGACCUCGGAUCAGGUAGGGAUACCCGCUGAACUUAA
rnacentral:misc_RNA from 1 species